CUCCUUCUAAUUCAACAGAUGCAGUUUAUGUUGCUUUUUAGUCGCCAGGGGAAACUGAGACUCCAGAAGUGGUAUGUCCCAUUAUCUGACAAAGAAAAGAAGAAAAUCACAAGGGAACUUGUUCAAACUGUAUUAGCCCGCAAACCGAAAAUGUGCAGCUUCCUGGAAUGGAGAGACCUGAAGAUUGUCUACAAAAGAUAUGCAAGUCUCUAUUUCUGCUGUGCUAUUGAAGAUCAGGACAAUGAACUAAUAACUCUGGAAAUAAUUCAUCGCUAUGUAGAACUUCUUGACAAGUAUUUUGGCAGUGUAUGUGAACUUGAUAUCAUCUUCAAUUUUGAAAAAGCCUAUUUCAUUCUGGAUGAGUUCCUUUUAGGAGGGGAAGUUCAGGAGACUUCCAAGAAAAAUGUUCUCAAAGCCAUUGAACAGGCAGAUCUUUUACAGGAGAGCCAGAAUGAAGACUGGGGAGGUUUGUCUGAGGAUAUCUUAUGAUUAAGAGCAAUCUAAGGCAUUAGCCCUUUUGACCCCCAUCUAAAUGAUUGGAAGCAGAGACCCCACGUAGUGUACUUGAAGAAAUUGGAUUGACAUAAAUCUUCACUUCAGCUGAUGACAUCUCAGUGUUUCAUACUGUAAAUGUUCACUGCCUUCAUUGUAAUGUUUAGCUAAUGGUGUAAGAUGCUGUUUGUCAGUAUUACUGUUUUGCUAAGCUGCUUCAUUCAGGCCUACAAGAAAAAUACUCCUUUGAAAAGGGAACCAGGAACUGAAGUCCAAAAAUCAUAAAUGAAAGGGAAUUAGAUUUAAAUUGACUCAGUGUCUCCCUUCACUGCAUUUAUGGGAAGAUUGCAUUUGACUUCAAUAAGUGUACUGUUUUUUAUAAGCAAACUUGACUUCAGGAAAUAAAUGUAUCAUUAUGACAUAGCAUAUCUAAAUGAAAAGAAACUACAUGGACAACUCCAAAUACAAAAUGUUAGUGUAGAAAUUGUGUUUAUGCAACCAAAGACUUCUGUUCAUCGACAUUUUAGUCACCACUUGUGAUAAUUCUGCUUGUUUCAGUUGAUGCAUAAAGAUUGGAAAUACCUGUUUACUCCUGAAUUUGUCAUUAUACCAAAGAAUCCUGUUAGGAUCUGCAUAUCAAACUGGUAAAAACUGUUAAGGUGAUACUGCUUUUUGCAAGAAAACUGCAAACUGAUCGACUCACUAGAAAUGAAGGUGUAUUUAAGUGUAGCUACCUUGAGCAAAACUGUGCGAGUUACUAUGCUAAAAAGGGAAUGCAUGUAGCCAAAAAAAAAAAAAAAAAUCCAAAUAAGGAAACUCUUUUUAGAUCUGCUCUUAGCUUGCUCUGAACAUAAACACAAGAAAGGAGAUAGGCUUCCCGGCUGUACAGAGAGGUGCAUAAUGAAAAUUGGAUACUUUUGAAGAUGGGAAAGAAGGAGCUUUACAGAAGGGACUUCAUUAUUUUCUUUCAAACUCUUCAAAUUAAUUUGUAUUUAUUGGUGUUUUGUAGUUAUGCUUUAAUGGGUGUAUAGGUACCUUUAAAAAAACCCAAACACCGCACUAAGUGUCAAUGUCAUUUUAACUGCUUUUCUUGACUUGCACCUUUUAAGGUGUGGCACAUCCCUUACGAAACACCUGCGUGACGUACAGUUGAACCAACUAGUUUGCAGCCAGGGCUUUUAAGUAUUAGAUUUGUAUAGUAGAUUCACUGCAAAUCACGUGAAGUGAUACCAAGUAGUAUUUUGACACUUCUAGCAGACUUUCAGUAAUUAUAGACUACACCUGUUUCACUUGAGGAGGUUGGAUUCAUGUAUGCUUUUGAGUUUGGAGGCGGUCGUGCCACACUUUGGAGUAGCCAAGUUCUGCGGUGUGUCGGCACGGUCCCUGAGGCGGCGGGGCUGUUCCCCUCCCCUCCCUCCCCAUAACGUGGCUCUAGGAGUCGGCGUUUUGGCUUGUUCGCUCGAGUGAGUAAGUAGUGCUGCGUUUUCGCAGAACUUGGCUUUGGCGUUGUUGCUGGAAGCAGCCGCGCACUGCUAGCGCGAGCAUUUACACGGCCAUCUGGAGAGCUAGGCUGUGGGCUCGAUGCGAUCUGGGUUAAGUUUCACCCGCCAGGUAAGGGCUCGGCGUGGCCCCUUGCAAGUCCCCCGAACCCAGAUCCCAGUGUAAACGCUCGUGGCAGCAGAAGGGCCGGCCGGGGCAGGCGUGGGUCUGCAGGCUUCCGCGGCAGUGCCAGGCCGGAGCCUGGGCACUCGGUGUUAGAACUUGUCUGCUUGGGCCCUUUCUGGGAUUUAACCCCACCCGACUGCUAGAGACCGUUUGUAACCUCGGGCACGCAAAAGCAGUGGUGUGCGUUUCCCUGGCGCGGAACGUGCAGGGAUAGAUGAGGUUCAGGUGGCAGCAGAAUGACCCCCCUGCGUGAGAUUGAGGCGGUAGAAUUACCUUAAGGCAAACCCGAAGUGAUUUUCUAUGUAUUAAACAUGUUUUUGAAGUUUACACUGUCACUUGUAUGUGCUCGGCUGGAUUAAGCUUUGUUGUGAUUGUGACAAAUAAACUGUUUGACCUCUGUCUGUCACAUUGGUUUAGUUGUAAUAAAUGUCCAUUUUUACACCAU